AAAUGCGAUAACUAGUGUGAAUUGCAGAAUUCCGUGAAUCAUCGAGUCUUUGAACGCACAUUGCGCCCCCUGGUAUUCCGGGGGGCAUGCCUGUCCGAGCGUCAUUGCUGCCCAUCAAGCACGGCUUGUGUGUUGGGUCGUCGUCCCCUCUUCGGGGGGGACGGGCCCCAAAGGCAGCGGCGGCACCGCGUCCGAUCCUCGAGCGUAUGGGGCUUUGUCACCCGCUUUGUAGGCCCGGCCGGCGCUUGCCGAACGCAAAACAACCAUUCUUUCCAGGUUGACCUCGGAUCAGGUAGGGAUACCCGCUGAACUUAAGC
rnacentral:misc_RNA from 1 species